AAAAGUUUAGUUAAUAUAUAUAUAUAACAUUGGUAUGUCAAACCAAAAUAAUUUUUUUUUAAUAACUUUUG
rnacentral:tRNA from 1 species